AAAUGAUUUAAAAAAUUUUAAGCCUUCUAUCAAUCAUUCACUCUUGUACCAAAUCAAGUAUGGACUAUGAAGAGAUUCUGAUCUAAUGAUAGCCCAUCAAGUCUUUUGGUGAGAGAGAUGAAGGGAGAAGGACUCUAAAAAUUAAAAGCUUGAAAAGAGAGAUUCAAUAGAGCAGGCUUCUAUUCAUGAUCUAGCUUCAUCGCAAACCCCAGAGGGAUUACUUAGCCAGAUAUAGUUGAAUUGAAGUCAAAAAAAAAUAAAGACUAAUUCUACUUACUGAAAUUGAACUUGCAGAAAUUAAAAAUUACAGAAUUAAAAGAUAUAGAAAUUUAAACUAUUAUAUUAUAGAAAUUAAAAUUAUAAAAAUUAAAUAGAAAGAAAAUAAUUAAUUUAUUACUGAAUAAAAAUUCUGAUGUAAAAAUUUUUAACUCCUAAGCCAUUAACAAGGCUUGGAGUUUGAACAGAAAAUAAAAUAAAAUUUUUUACAGAAUUAGACUUCUCUCCUUCUCUUGGCUUGGGAUCAAUCUUCCCUGGCUGACUCUCCUUCUCGUGUGUUGGAAGGAUGGAAGAAAGUGGGAAUAAGGUGGCUAAAAAGUUUUAAAGGUGGGUAUGUCUGCCUGUCAUACAGAUCUCCUACAAGAAUUAUAGAGUGGAGAGAGAUACUAUGAAUGGAGGCAUUAGGCUUUAUUUAUAGAUGUAGGUAGGGAGGAGGAUUUUAUAUUUUUCCAAUAUGGGACUAAAAAGAGAGGAUAGAUGAAUGAUUAGGAUUUAAUUUGGAAAGUACGGAUGGAUAGAUAGACAGUUGGUUAAAUAGGAA
rnacentral:lncRNA from 1 species